rnacentral:rRNA from 1 species
GACGAACGCUGGCGGCGUGCUUAACACAUGCAAGUCGAACGGAAAGGCCCUGCUUUUGUUGGGUGCUCGAGUGGCGAACGGGUGAGUAACACGUGUGUAACCUGCCCUUGAAUUUGGGAUAACAUCAGGAAACUGGGGCUAAUACCGGAUAGGAGCUCCUGCUGCAUGGUGGUGGUUGGUAAGUUUCGGCGGUUGGGGCUGGACUGGCGGCUUAUCAGCUUGUUGGUGGGGUAGUGGCUUACCAAGGUUUUGAAGGGUAGGCGGCCUGGGAGGUUGGCCGGCCACAUUGGGACUGAGGUACGGCCCAGACUCCUACGGGAGGCAGCAGUCGGGAAUAUUACACAAUGGGCGCAAACCUGAUGCAGAGACGUCGCGUGCGGGAUGACGGCCUUCGGGUUGUAAACCGCUUUCGCAUGUGACGAAGCGUGAGUGACGGUAAUGAGUAAAGAAGCACCGGCUAACUACGUG